rnacentral:rRNA from 1 species
UACGUAGGGACCGAGCGUUGUCCGGAAUCAUUGGGCGUAAAGAGCGUGUAGGCGGCUUGCUAAGUCUUGCGUGAAAUCUCGGGGCUCAACCCCGAGCGGUCGUGGGAAACUGGCAGGCUAGAGUGCGGGAGAGGAGAAUGGAAUUCCUGGUGUAGCGGUGAAAUGCGCAGAUAUCAGGAAGAACACCCGUGGCGAAGGCGGUCUC